GCUUCCCGCAGUGCUUCAGCCCGUCGACGACAAGGUCGAAGUUCUGCGCCCUCGGCAUCAUCCCCAUCUCCGCCAUCUCCACCAGGUAGUUCGCCGCUUCUACGAAUCUCCCCCCUCUGACGCACAUCUUCACCAGCAUGGUGUAGACGGGCCUGUUGGGGGGGUGACCUCUGGCUUUCAUGUCGCUGAAGAAGCUGAAGGCGUCGGCGAACCUCCCCGCCCUGCAGAGCGCCUUGAGCAGAGGCGCGUAGAGGCUGGGGAACGCCCGGUGGCCGUCUUCCAUGGCGGCGUGGAUCAGCCGGAACGCGUCCUCGAUCUUUCC
rnacentral:lncRNA from 1 species